rnacentral:lncRNA from 1 species
AAGCUCGAGGACCGUGGAGAAGACGAAAACGAAGGCCUUGAAGAGGAUUCAGAAGAGGCUCUAUGCUUCUCCUUUGCAGCAGACUUCUUCUUGGUACUACUCCUCUCCUGCAAUGUCCAUAAAAAGCCUCUGUUUCUUUCAGCCUCUGUUUUCUCAAUUCGUAUUCUUUAACGAUGAUUGUAUAAACUGAGUUUAGAGUCUUACCGUUUCUUUAUCACUUUCCAUGUUAGUCUCACCGACGAUAUCUUUGCUUUCUCCUGCAAAAAGAGCCCCAUGUGCUUAGCUAUAAGCCUGUUUUGGACUGGUUCUAGUGAAACUACUCUGUUUCCUUGUGGUCCUAAACACUGAACUAAGAUUUAGAGAGAGAGAGAGAGAGAGUUCAAGUUACCUGGAGGCAAAGACUUGUCUACAUGGCCGGAGACGGCGACUGGUCUCGCCGGACAAUGUUGCCUGUAAAACACUUGCAAGAUACCAUUCAUGCAUCCAAACUGUUUAUUGAGAUUUGGGUUCUCAUCUGACAAGUUAUACAGAAGUUUUGCAGACAUAUCUUCCUCUGCUUCUUAACAGUUAUCUCAAAAGGGAUAAUCUAAAAAGACUAUUUUUCACAAAAUUCAAGUUUCUCUUCAUAUACACAUACUCUGCUUUUUAUAAUCUCCAGUUUCUUCGUCUAUUCACUCUGUUCUGGGUGUAAAGAUAGUGAUCUUGUGUUUCAG